rnacentral:rRNA from 1 species
UUUGAGAGAACUCUGCUGAAGGAACUAGGCAAAAUGGUACCGUAACUUCGGGAGAAGGUACGCUGUUGUUGGUGAUGGAACUCGCUUCCUGAGCUGACGACAGCCGCAGAAACCAGGCCGCUGCAACUGUUUAUUAAAAACAUAGCACUCUGCAAACACGAAAGUGGACGUAUAGGGUGUGAUGCCUGCCCGGUGCUGGAAGGUUAAUUGAUGGGGUUAGCGUAAGCGAAGCUCUUGAUCGAAGCCCCAGUAAACGGCGGCCGUAACGAUAACGGUCCUAAGGUAGCGAAAUUCCUUGUCGGGUAAGUUCCGACCUGCACGAAUGGCAUAAUGAUGGCGGCGCUGUCUCCAGCAGAGGCUCAGUGAAAUCGAAAUCGCUGUGAAGAUGCAGUGUACCCGCGGCUAGACGGAAAGACCCCGUGAACCUUUACUGCAGCUUGACACUGAACUUUGAUCUUACUUGUGUAGGAUAGGUGGGAGGCUUUGAAGCUGGAACGCUAGUUCCAGUGGAGCCGUCCUUGAAAUACCACCCUGGUAAUGUUGAGGUUCUAACUCUGUCCCGUGAUCCGGGACGAGGACCGUGUCUGGUGGGUAGUUUGACUGGGGCGGUCUCCUCCUAAAGAGUAACGGAGGAGUACGAAGGUGCGCUCAGCGUGGUCGGAAAUCACGCGUAGAGUAUAAAGGCAAAAGCGCGCUUAACUGCGAGACCCACAAGUCGAGCAGGUACGAAAGUAGGUCUUAGUGAUCCGGUGGUUCUGUAUGGAAGGGCCAUCGCUCAACGGAUAAAAGGUACUCUGGGGAUAACAGGCUGAUACCGCCCAAGAGUUCAUAUCGACGGCGGUGUUUGGCACCUCGAUGUCGGCUCAUCUCAUCCUGGGGCUGAAGCAGGUCCCAAGGGUAUGGCUGUUCGCCAUUUAAAGAGGUACGCGAGCUGGUUUAGAACGUCGUGAGACAGUUCGGUCCCUAUCUACCGUGGGCGCUGGAAAUUUGAGAGGAUCUGCUCCUAGUACGAGAGGACCAGAGUGGACGAACCUCUGGUGUACCGGUUGUGACGCCAGUCGCAUCGCCGGGUAGCUAUGUUCGGAAGGGAUAACCGCUGAAAGCAUCUAAGCGGGAAGCCUACCUCAAGAUAAGAUUUCCCUAGGACUUUAUGUCCUCUAAAGAGCCGUUCGAGACUAGGACGUUGAUAGGUUGGAUGUGGAAGCAUAGUGAUAUGUGAAGCUGACCAAUACUAAUUGCUCGUGAGGCUUGACU